GAUGAACGCUGGCGGCGUGCCUAAUACAUGCAAGUCGAACGCUGGAAAUCUAGCUUGCUAGAUUGAAGGAGUGGCGAACGGGUGAGUAAUACAUAAGCAACCUACCCACGAAGACUGGGAUAAUCUCUGGAAACGGGGACUAAUACCGGAUAGGUAAUCGGAAGGCAUCUUCUGAUUAUUAAAGGUUAAAAACACUGGUGGAUGGGCUUAUGGCGCAUUAGUUAGUUGGUGAGGUAACGGCCCACCAAGACGAUGAUGCGUAGCCGGCCUGAGAGGGUGAACGGCCACAUUGGGACUGAGACACGGCCCAGACUCCUACGGGAGGCAGCAGUAGGGAAUUUUCGGCAAUGGGGGAAACCCUGACCGAGCAACGCCGCGUGAGUGAUGACGGCCUUCGGGUUGUAAAGCUCUGUUGUAAGGGAAGAACGGUAGAUAGAGAAUAUCUAAAUGACGGUACCUUAUCAGAAAGCCACGGCUAACUACGUG
rnacentral:rRNA from 1 species